UUUAGGACUGGGAUUCAGCAGCCCAAGAAUUUGCCAGCCAGGAUGAAAAACUUCUAAUGGAAUCCAGCUUGAAAGCAAGUCAAGAGCAGCUAAGUGAGGAAAGAGCAGAACCAAGUUCGCCCCGACCAGUAGAAAAUCACAGACAGAACUGAAGCCACUGAGCGAACGCAUUAUAGAUUCUCAUGAAGAAAUUAGUGAUUACAAGGAGCUUGGAGCACCAUACAUGGGCCUCGUUGCAUUCUCACAACAAUCCUGUGAGGAUGUCAACAGGCCACUGUGGAGAAAGACCUGUACCUUCGAUGGAAGUAGCAUCUGAAGAAGCAUAUCAGAUGAUGACCCAGAUUUGUGGGUAGGUUGGCAUGGGAUGAGGUGUCACUUCGGGUACAUUGCAGAGGAAAUGAAAUUCACUUUGUAGUGUCAUUGAGAACUCUACACACCUAAUCUCUGCUUUAAAAUCUCCAAGGAAGGAGAAUCCACUACCUCUUGUAGAAGUCUGUUCCAAAGUCAAACAGCUCUGUAAGAAAGUUCUUCCUGAUGUUUAGUCAUACUUGAGCUAUGAUCUCCCUCUGUAGUGAAUGUUGUUUCCCAAGCUUUGUCUGUACUUGUGGAGUAUCUUUACCUUGUAGCCACAAAAUUGGCACAACCCACAGUGUCAUUCUAUGAGAAAGACUAACUUGAUCAACCCCACCCACAUUUAAACAUUUUACUUCCGUAGGGAGCUUUUUGUGGAGAAGUGACUUCUAUCUAGCAGGAAGAAAGCCCAUAGAACAAAGUCGUCCUAUUGUUUAAUAUUGUGGGAACAAGAGCAAAGGGGCAGCCAUUUUGAACUUACCAUUGAAAACAAUUAGGACAAUUCUUUCCACUUAGGCUAUGCUUUUAUUACCUGGAUGAGCAUGUUUCUUACUAAGUUCAGCAUCUCUCUUGUCCUGCUACUAACUCUUGUUGAUUGAAACACACUACUUUCAUUGGUGGUGUUUUGGUCCUACUGGAUAUGCCUGUAUUGUGUUACCCCUGUGCUAAUAUGAGACCACUGUAAAUUCACGGUGCUGGUGUAAUGUGUUUUACUGCACAGUUAAAUUUGGUAGUGAUCCUAUCCCCAACCGACAUAUGCAAUUUGACAACAGGAUUGCACUGUAAGGAAUAUUUCCAAAACUAUACACGCCAGACAAGCAGCUAAUGCGCAUCUUUAGACAUACUUGCAUAUUGUCUUUUAAAAAGAGGAAGCACUCAUGAGGUGAACACCAUUUCCAAAUAUCCCCAACUGCUGAACUGAACACUGACACUGCUGGAAUGACAAAAGAGGCAUCUGCUUAAAUAUGCAAGGAUGAAUCUUUAUCGGCUUGCUAAUAGCCUGAAUCACAAAAUCAAUUUCUGUCUAUAUAAAGGAAUGAUAAUUCUUCUGCAUUAACUACUGUGGAACAUCUUCAUGCAACUGCUGACAAUUGGUAGUCAUUCUCUUUUCUGCAGUGUAAUUGUUGAUUUUACCACAAUUGCUUCAUAUCUCUGAUAAGAAUACAUAUAAAAUCUAGAAUCCCUUUGACUCCAAUCUUAAAACCUCCAAUCACAAGAUCAGAUAAUUUAAGGAAUGAUUUAAAUUUUUGAAUGGCGCCUGCAUUAUUAUUAAUUAAGACCUGUGAUGCUUAAUCUAACAUGUUUAAAUGAUCAAACACAUAUUCAGUUCUCUAGAUAUCUGCAAUGUUUUCACUUAAAGCAAUAAUAGAGACCAAAAUUGCUAGUCAAAAGGUUAAUGAGGGUUAAAUCUCAGAAAGCAAAAAUGAAAUUAAGAUAAAAUUCUAUAGGUGAGAAAUGUAUUAUGUAUGUGACCAUCUUAGUAGAAAGUUAAAUUGUAUGGGAAAAUCCAAAACAUCCUCUAAAUUCGUCUUCAACCAAAUAAAAAGAGAAAGUUCACAUCUUCAAAUUGAGACUCAAGAAGAAAAGCCCAGAUUUGCCAAUCAUUCAUAACUGACCACCAUUAUAAUUGAUGGUAAUAGAUGCUUUGAGCAGGUACCCCACAACCAUUAUU
ensembl:lncRNA